rnacentral:rRNA from 1 species
GCCACGGCUAACUACGUGCCAGCAGCCGCGGUAAUACGUAGGUGGCAAGCGUUGUCCGGAAUUAUUGGGCGUAAAGCGCGCGCAGGCGGUUUCUUAAGUCUGAUGUGAAAGCCCCGGCUCAACCGGGGAGGGUCAUUGGAAACUGGGGAACUUGAGUGCAGAAGAGGAGAGUGGAAUUCCACGUGUAGCGGAUGAAUGCGUAGAGAUGUGGAGGAACACCAGUGGCGAAGGCGACUCUCUGGUCUGUAACUGACGCUGAGGCGCGAAAGCGU